rnacentral:lncRNA from 1 species
UUCUGCAGAACAAAAGGCUCAUUACUUUUGCCUAAUUAAAAUGGGGAAGCAAACAGUGAAGCUAAAAUAGCAGGGUGGUGUCACAUGACCAUUUCUUAUUAGGGCCUUUUUUUUUUUUUUCUUUUCAGGUCUCUGGACACUCUUUUCUACUGAGCCUAGCUUCUGUGUUUCUACUAAACCAAGAUGCAACUGGAAUUGAGCAUGUAAUUCUAGCAUUUACCAAGCUGUGUUAAAAUCUCCUCAGAUUUUAGAGAAAAACUCCCCAGUCUUGCUUCCAGGGUCUCCAUAUAGUUGGAAGAGUUUCCUUAAGGAGGAAAUGAGAGUUCAUGAGUACAGAGUCACCAGCAGCCCAGAGCUCAGAACUGCUGCUGUAGAGGACAAAAAGCUGUUGUCAUAUCAAAGGAACAGUAUAUUGACCUUCACUGGACAGCUAAGAUACCGAGAAAGUCAACAACUCUCAGAAAGAUACAAUGUGGAAUUGGGAUUGGUAAAUACCAAGUACAGAGACUAUUAUGCUUCCAGGGAAAUUCAAAGUUGUUGAUCAGUGAGCUUACGAAAGCCUUUGGGGACAGGACAAAUAAUGGACCUGUUUACCUUCAUUUUUCACUAAUUGAAAACCCAAGGUCUGAGAAACUAAUAUUUCCUUUUUUCAAAACCCAGAUGUUUCUUCCUUUUCUUGAACAUGAACAACAAGGCAAAGAGCUUUGUGCAAGUAGAAAGCGUGGGGGAAACCUGGAGACUGCUAGCCACUUAAAAGGUCUCUGGAAGACACUGUCGACUCCAUUGCUUGGAGUACACAAUCAGUAACAGCCAUGGAAAAGGUAGAAAUCAGAGCCUGUCAAAGCUUCCUGAUGUUUAUCACUUGAGAAGUUAAGCACAACUGUACACCUACUAUUUUAUAUCUUUUAUAAUUGAAAUUGUUUUAUCUAUAAAUGAUUAUAAAGUUAUAGGUGGUACAUUACAUUUAGUUACAUAUUAAAUGACCUCUUUCACAAAAAUCACCUUGAUUUCAUCACAGUUACCAACCUUUGUUAAAAUAACAUUUGCUAUUUUAGAAAUUUGUUUAGUAUCCUUUUUUGCUAUUAGACUUUAAACUACAUAAAGCCAGAGGUCAUAUUUUUAUUUAUCACUGUAAUGGAGGAAAAUUCCUAGAUAGGGAUAUACAAUGAGUAAGAAAGAAUGUGCAUCUGAAUUGAAAAGAUAUUUUGAGCUGGACAUACUUGUACAUUCUCCCAACUCCAGGUAGGGGAGACUGAAGCAAAAGCAUGACAUGUUCAACACCAUUCUGGGCAACUUACUGAAACCCUACAAAAAAAAAAAAAAAAGACAUUUUGAAAAUUUACAGUGACUUUUAAAAUUAUUGUUUGUGGUUAUUUACAUGUCAAAAUGAAAUUCAUUUAUUUUUCUGCAAAUGUCCAUUCAGAAAAUUGUUCAGCUUUUCUGAGGCAUUAUCCAUAGACAAGGACUUGUUGCCUGAUUACUAUACACUUAAACCUUAAUAAUAAAAAUCAGUAAGCUCCUUAGCCUUUUACAAAAUGUAGUCAACACUAAGUCUAGUUUGGUACAUUGACCCCAUAGACUUUUAACAAUUUGAUUUUAAGUAUAAAAUACUCAAAUUAGCAAUUCAAACACA